rnacentral:rRNA from 1 species
AUUGACCGCUGGCGGCAGGCCUAACACAUGCAAGUCGAGUGAGCGGCGGACGGGUGAGUAAUGUAUGGGGACUGCCCGAUAGAGGGGGAUAACUACUGGAAACGGUGGCUAAUACCGCAUACUAUCGGAUAACCCAUAUGGGAUUAGCUAGUAGGUGGGGUAAAGGCUCACCUAGGCGACGAUCUCUAGCUGGUCUGAGAGGAUGAUCAGCCACACUUGGACUGAGAAACGGCCCAGACUCCUACGGAGGCAGCAGUGGGGAAUAUUGCACAAUGGGCGAAAGCCUGAUGAAGCCAAGCCGCGUGUAUGAAGAAGGCCUUAGGGUUGUAAAAGACUGUCAGCGGGGAGGCUUUACCCGCAGGAGAAGCACCGGCGAACUCCGUGCCAGCAGCCGCGGUAAUUC